CAACGCAGUACCUCAUUAGGUGGUGUGGAAAUCUGCUACAAUGACCUGAAAUUUUUGACUUUUUUUUUUUUGAAUCUGACUUGAUGACAUUAUGACAUUUUAAGUUAUUUUUAAAAGUCAUCAAAAGUGAUAUUUUAGCAUGAAUUUUCAACAUUUUUCUCAACAAAAGUCAGAUUUUACUUGACUUGAUUCAAUUUAGAAAAAAAUGUAAAUAAGUCAUAAAUUUCUGACAUUAUGACAUUUCAAAAUGGCAAUUUUCAUUGCUACUUCUACCACAGAGCAGACUCGUGGACUGGUUGUACUAUCAGUAUUCAUGUACAAGGAGUUGAGAAAAAUUGCACAAUUGAAAUGAAUCGUGGUCGGAAGAAAGUUACCUGGUAUAGAGACAAAUUUACAGUGCAAGGAAAAAAACUUCAUUGCCAAUGCUAUGAAGAGAAAGAAGAAGGUACCUUGGGAAGCGAUGACGAGGUUGAAAACGUGAAUGAUUCGCUAUCUAACAAUUCAGCGGCCAGUAAUGUUAGUACAGCUGUAGGCCAAAAUCAAGAUGAGACUCCUCCGAAAAAGAGGAAACUUUGUAGCUUCGAAACUGAAGAUGAUCACAACAGUAAUUUGAAAAGACAUAUUCUCCGAAAACAUCCAGUUCAAUUUGAAGAAAUUAAUAAAAAAAUACUGGAAGCAAAUAAUUCGAAGCAAACUCCAGUGGAAAAAUUUUAUCAGCCAGUCAAAUUGAAAGUUGAUUUAUCUUUUGACGAUAUUAAAAGAGCAGCAAUCUCACUUUGCACAGUUGAUGGGCGGCCAUUUUCUGCAGUGGAGGAUGAUGGAUGGAAAAAAAUUGUGCAACCCAUCUGUGAUGCAGGUCGUUUUGAAAAGAUAUCACGUGAAAAAGUUGCUCUGUGGAUCAAAACUUCUGCCAGGAAUAUACGUGAAAAAAUUGCGGAUGAAGUGAAAGGAGCUGUUGUUCAUGUUCAAGCCGAUUGUGCAACAUACAAGUUGCGCCCAUUUUUGGGGAUCACCAUCCAGUUCAGAACGUAUGAUUUGAAAUUCAAGCAAUAUAAUUUGGGCUGUUAUUAGGUAUAUUGAUUGUCCUCAUACUGGUGAAAACUUGAAAAAAAUUGUUCUCAAAGUUCUUCUGAGAUUUGGAAUUCCGCCAGAAAAAGUUUGCACAAUAACGACAGAUAAUGCCUCAAAUUUUCAGAAAGCUCAAAUGUGGAUGAAAGUGACGAAGAUGAUGACGAUUUUUCAUCCCUAUUGAUAGAAGAGGAGGUGAUGGAUGUUGAUCCAGUGAAAUUUGAGUCCAUGAAAAUUACAAUACAAAACGCCCUACAUAAAUGAUCUACAAAAGGAAUAUAUUGAAUUGAUUCUAAUGAGCAUGGUAUUCGAUGUAUAGUACACAGCUUUCAACUAGGAAUACGAAAUUUUCUGAAUAAUAAGGAGGAGUUGUUGGUGAAAGUUCGUGCUCUGGUAAAUAAGUGCAGGUCACAAAAUAUCCGAUUGCAGUUAAUAAAAAAUGGCUGCAAGUUAGCUUUUAUUCUGGACAAUGCCACCAGGUGGAACUCAACGUUCAAAAUUUUAGAUAGGCUUAUUCAGUGUAAGGAAUAUGUUGUUGGAAUCAAGCACCUAUUGGCUGAUGUUCACCUGAAACAUUGUGAUUGGCUUGAAAUUGAAAGUUUGCGAAGUGUCCUCAAGCCAUGUGCGAAAGCAACAGUGCUCCUCC